CAGCCGCCACGGUAAUACAGAGGGUGCGAGCGUUAAUCGGAUUUACUGGGCGUAAAGCGUGCGUAGGCGGCUUUUUAAGUCGGAUGUGAAAUCCCUGAGCUUAACUUAGGAAUUGCAUUCGAUACUGGGAAGCUAGAGUAUGGGAGAGGAUGGUAGAAUUCCAGGUGUAGCGGUGAAAUUCGUAGAGAUCUGGAGGAAUACCGAUGGCGAAGGCAGCCAUCUGGCCUAAUACUGACGCUGAGGUACGAAAGCAUGGGGAGCAAACAGGAUUAGAUACCCGUGUAGUCCCUGUCUCUUAUAC
rnacentral:rRNA from 1 species